UCUCUGAGUAUAGUUGGUGUUUCAAUUGCGGCUCCUCUUCCUGCUCGACUUCGCUCUUCUCGCUUGACCUGCUCGAAUUCACUCGCUUCCAAUUUCAUGACGCUGUGAUUCGAUUUUCGCUCUCCUGUCACUGGUGGCUGUGCGUCAGGCAUCUCGAUUAUGAGACAGUGAAGAAUGACCAAGUGCUGUUGUAGUAUUGGCCUUGUAGAGGCGUCGUCACCCUCCGUCAAUGCACAGUUUCCUUCAAGUUCAGUAAUCAAAUGUGUUGUGUGGAAAUCGCUGCAAUGAAGUUUUGGAACCUGGCAUGCAUGUUGAUUCUAAUGUCAUGGUGAAUAGCAUACGAAUGAGGUGCACUAUGCAUUUGUCUACCGAUGGCUCACACGAUAGAGCUAUAUAUUCUUAUGACAAAGAAAACCAAUGUCCUUCCCAGCCCUUACGUCGAUUAGGCAUCUCUUAGGUGUGUUGUAUGUGAUUUACAUAGCUGCCAUUUUACAUUUGGUUGAUAAAUACUGUUAUUAUAAUUUCAUCCUGAUAUUUUUGACACAGAGAGAAAAAUUAGAGGAAUAUAUGAUUUGUCGCCUCCUGGUAAUUGCUAAUGAAGCGGCUUCUUAUCAUUGAUUAAUUUCAUUUGGUUGGUUCUUACUUAUUUUUGUAUGCAUGGAAAGGUGGUUCAUCUUUGCACCAGAAGAGAUAUAAAAUUGAUGGUAACACGACGAGAAAUUUUGAAGAGACAAUAAACACACAAGAGGUCAAUGGUUAUAAGAGAUCACUAACGUGAGUGCUGAGAAUUAUCAUGUGAGUUUGCCUAAUCAACUUAGAUAGUCUCGGUGUUACAAUGAAAGAAACAAUCAUAAUCUAAAGACGAAUCCUAACCACAAAAAGCUAGGUGAGUUUUAUUGGCUUCCAUGAAAAAAUCCCUAUGUUUUUAGUCUUAUUUUCAUACUCCCUUUUUUGGUUCCACAUCCAGGAGCUAAAUAGUGAAUAUGCAUAGAACAUAGUUAAACACCCUUUACAAUCCACGCUCAAUAUUUUCCUCCAAAUCUGCUGUUUUGAAAUUAGAACAUGAUGAUGACAUAGCGCUUUUCAAUUUCAUCUUUUUAACCUAUAUAAAAACAGGUUUGAACACUAACAUUUUGAGGGGCGUUGGGUGUAAUUUGGAUAUGCAGAAAUUCACUUAUAGAUAAAAGAGAAAAGCAUGAGUAAUACCUAUGAAGUGAGCAAAGGAAACGUUUUUAUAUAAAGUAUCUUUUCUCUUUUAUAUCUCUAUUAUUUAGCAUUUUAAUUACCUAUAAUAUAUAUAUAUAUAUACACACACAUAUUAUGAUCACGAUUUAUAGUUUGAUUAGAGGAUUUUUAAGACUGGUGAUCUUACUUAAUCACCUUUAACAGCCUUUUUAUAGGGAUUUUUGUUUUACAAUAAACAAAAAAUCUUAUUAAUAAAAAACAUGCUAUGCAAACCUCACAAAACUAUGCUAACAUAUCUUAUAUGUCUUGCUGGACAUAAUAAAGAUGAUAAGGGCAUAAACUAUGACCCUUGACAAAGUAGUGAUGAGAUGGUUUGGGCAUACAUACAAUUAAAGGAAAAAUAUAGACGUCAAUUCUACUAGCUUGUGAACUUGUAAACUUCAAAGUUUCCAAAAUGACCUGUAGUUGCAGUGGAAGUUCAUCAAGUUUCUAUGUUAAUUAUACAUUCUCCCAUUUAAAUGCACAUGUUGGAAGUUUAGGUGGUUUUCUUAUUGUUGACUAAUGUGUCUUGUCCUCAUGUUAUCUUUGUCAUGUAUUGGUAUGGUCUUUGUAGGGCAUUACAAUCAUGGUGCAGUAGCAGAUGACGGUAUUGACUCUACUAAUAAUGUGCAUGCAAUUUCUUGUGCUAGUAAUUCUCUUUCUGAUAUGGGUUUUGUGUUAAAAGUGGAUAUAAGCCCUUCAUGAAUUAAUUUGCUAUUUGUGUUAAAGUUACGUGUUGGUAUGGUCUUUAUAGGGCAUUACAAUCAUGGUGUAGUGACAGAUGAUGGUAUUAGCUCCCCUGAAGAUAUGAAUGCAUUUCUCAUGAUGGCAAUUCCUUUGUGAUAUGGGCUUUGUGUUAAAGUUAUAUUGAUGAAGGUGAUCCUCAUUUCACAUGUCAAGAAUGUGGUGCUUUAAUGUGGUUCAAUGAACAAGCUAAGCAUGCAACAAGAUUUGGAUCUCUUCAUUUUUCUUUGUGUUGUUCACAUGGGAAGAUCAAAAUUCCACUAAUUGAACCAGCACCUCCAUAUUUUGAUCAUUUAUUUUUUGACUUGAACUCUAUUGAUUCAAAAAAAAAAAUUGACAAACAUCAGGCUUAUAAUAACAUGUUCUCUUUUACUUCAA